AAUCAACGCUGGCGGCGUGCCUAACACAUGCAAGUCGAACGAGAAAGCGGGGGCAACCCUGUGAGUAAAGUGGCAGACGGGUGAGUAACACGUGAACAACCUACCCUCGAGUGGGGAAUAACACCGCGAAAGCGGUGCUAAUACCGCAUAACAUUCCCGGGACGCAUGUCCUGGGAAUCAACGGCGAAAGUCGCUUGAGGAGGGGUUCGCGCCUGAUUAGCUAGUUGGUGAGGUAACGGCCCACCAAGGCGACGAUCAGUAGCCGGCCUGAGAGGGCGUACGGCCACACUGGAACUGAGACACGGUCCAGACUCCUACGGGAGGCAG
rnacentral:rRNA from 1 species